rnacentral:rRNA from 1 species
UACGUAGGUGGCAAGCGUUGUCCGGAUUUACUGGGCGUAAAGAGCGCGCAGGCGGUCGUGCAAGUCGCGUGUGAAAGCCCCCGGCUCAACUGGGGAGGGUCACGCGAUACUGCUCGACUCGAAGGCAGGAGAGGGAAGUGGAAUUCCCGGUGUAGUGGUGAAAUGCGUAGAUAUCGGGAAGAACACCCGUGGCUAAGGCGGCUCUCUGGGACGGUACUGACGCUGAGACGCGAAAGCGUGGGGAGCGAACAGG